ACAUGACUACAACAUAGCGUUAAUGCACCAGAUCCCAUUAGAACUCCGCAGUUAAGCGCACUUAGGAUAGAUUAUUACUGGGAUGGGUGACCUCUCAUGAAGUCCUAGUGUUUUACAUGCC
rfam:Picea glauca, whole genome shotgun sequence.